rnacentral:rRNA from 1 species
CCACCCAUGGGGCCCCUAUAAGAAAAGUCCAAGGUUCGGUCCAUCCGCGAAAAACAAUGACUCUCCGGCGCCUCCAGAAACUAGCAUUUCUGAGCAAAAACCUAGCAAAACUGCAUAUCACAUGAAUUUCCUGAGGUCCUCCAAAACCGUAUAGAAACCAUAUAGAAAACUGCCAUAAUUUGUAGGAGUGGGAUGCCCCUCAGGUAUAGUAGGGGGUGAGGGUUUAGCUGGCUGAGACCUCAGGUAAACUACUGCAAAACCACUAGUUUUUUGCCAUACCCGCUUAGGAGGCUCCACCAUACCUUGAUCACGCCCCUCAGCCUCUGUGGUCGGCCGACAGCCUACCAUGGCCCCCUUCGGCUAGCUACCGGCCGCCAUGGCUGGCCAGUGUGCAACCAUGACCUAGCUAUGGCUAUGGUUUGUUGGCUUGAUGCCUUGGACGUGUGGCUGCACGCUUUUGGACCGUUGUUGGUGAAGUUUUGGUGACUCACAGCCUACACGGGCUGCUACGGGCAAGUCUGGUGCCAGCAGCCACGAUAAUUUCAGCUCCAAUAGCGUAUAUUUAAGUUGUUACAGUUAAAAAGCUCAUAGGGACCUUGGGUCGGGUCGGCCGGUCCGCCUCACAGUGAGAACCGACCUACUCGACCCUUCUGCCAGCGAUGCACUUCUGGCCUUAAUUGGUCGGGUCAUGCCUCUAGCGACAUUACUUUGAAGAAAUUAGAGUGCUCAAAGCAAGCCAACGCUCUGGAUACAUUAGCAUGGGAUAACAUCAGAGGACUCUGGUCCUAUUGUGUUGGCCUUUGGGAUUGAAGUAAUGAUUAAUAGGGAUAGUUGGGGGCAUUCGUAUUUCAUAGUUAGAGGUGAAAUUCUUGGAUUUAUGAAAGACGAACAACUGUGGAAGCAUUUGUCAAGGAUGUUUUCAUUAAUCAAGAACAAAAGUUGGGGCUCAAAGCGACCAGAUACCAUCCUAGGCUCAACCAUAAACGAUGCCAACCAGGGAUAGGCGGAUGUUGCUUAUAGGACUACGCCGGCACCCUAUGAGAAAUCAAAGUCUUUGGAUUCCGGUGGGAGUAUGGUCGCAAGGCUGAAACUUUAAGGAAUUGACGAAAGGGCACCACCAGGCAUAGAGCCUGCGGCUUAAUUUGACACAACACGAGAAAACUUAUCAUGUCCAGACAUAGCAAGGAUUGACAGACUGAGAGCUCUUUCUUGAUUCUAUGGGUGGUGGUGCAUGACCGUUCUUAGUUGGUGGAGAGAUUUGUCUAGUUAAUUUCAUUAAUGAGUGAAAACUCAGCCUACUAACUAGCUAUGCGGAGCCAUCCCUCCUAUAGCUAGCUUCUUAGAGGGGCAAUGGACGUUUAGGCCACGAGAGUUUGAUGCAAUAAUAGGUCUAUGAUGGCCUUAGAUGUUCUGGGCCGCACGUGCUCCACACUGAUGUAUUCAAUGAGUAUAUAGCCUUAGCUGACAAGUCCGGGUAAUCUUGGGAAAUUUCAUCAUAAUAGGGAUAGAUCAUUGCAAUUGUUGGUCUUCAACGAGGAAUGCCUAGUAAGCACGAGUCAUCUGCUCGUGUUGACUAUGUCCCUGCCCUUUGUACACACUGUCCGUCGCUCCUAUUGAUUGAAUGGUCCAGUGAAGUGUUUGGAUCACGGCGAGGGAGGUAGUUCACCACCCCUGACAUCACAAGAAGUCCAUUGAACCUUAUCAUUUAGAGAAAGGGAGAAGUUGUAACAAGGUUUUCGUAGGUGAACCUGCAGAAG